rnacentral:rRNA from 1 species
AUGACAACUCUGAGCAGUGGACCACGCGGCUCACGGGUCGAUGAAGAACGCAGCUUGCUGCGAUAUUUGGUGUGAAUUGCAGGACACAUUGAACAUUGAACACCGAACUUUUGAACGCGCAUAGCGGCCGACGGUCUUCUGGGACUAGAGGCCUCGCCUGUCUGAGGGUCGUAUGAAACUUAGGCCCAUACUCUGGAUCCAUUGGCCGCGUCGGGUGACUCAACCCGUCGGCUUAAGUGCGAAAGGAAUUCUUCCGAGCCGUGGGAGUAGUCUCGAGUAUCCGGUGUCCGGGGGAGAGUUCCCCCUCAAGGCCCUCUCCGGUUCUUCCGGCUGCUCGCUCGAGGCGUUCCCCAAGAAUCGGAAAAAGGUACCUUAAAUUGAAAUUAUUUUUGAAACGAUCUCAGAUAGACGAGACUACCCGCUGAAUUUAAGCAUAUUAAUAAGCGGAGGAAAAGAAAAUAACUGUGAUUCCCCUAGUAGCAGCAAGCGAACAGGGAGGAGCCCAGCCUUGAAUCCUUGCCUCGUGCAGGGAAAUGUGGCGUUUGUGCGAGUCGGGAGCAUUUUCUCAGAGGGUGUGAGGCACGUCCUCGCGCGCCGUGGUUCUCUCUCGGUACGCCCGCGAGUUGGGUUGCUUGGGAGUGCAGCCCUAAGAUGCAUGGUAAAUUCCACCCAAGGCUAAAUACGACCGUGAGACCGAUAGCAAACAAGUACCGUGAGGGAAAGUUGAAAAGAACUUUGAAGAGAGAGUUCAAUAGAACGUGAAACUGCUCAGAGGGAAACAGGUGGGCCCUCGAAGUCCAGUGUCUGGGGCGUUCAGCCCCGGUGUCGUCCGCUUCCGCCGAAGCGAGUGAAGGAGCGCCCCUCACGUGGGGGUGCCGUCCUCGCCCCCAGGAGGUGGUUCGGCCCGGGUGCACUCGUCCCCUUCCAGAGGACACCGCACCCCGUUCGUAUUUUGUGGGCAGUGAUUGUGGAUACUUUUAUGUGGACUCCGAAUGAGGAUAUUCCGAUCUCUUCCGCCCGGGUCCGCAGCGGACAGUGGUUUCCGACUCGUCCCUCCUAAUUGGUAUUUUUGGUGGUGCAGGUGGGUUCUUGGGUAGCAGUGCGCACGCUCUCUGAGCGUGUUCGGUGACUCGCCUCGCCCGCGCCGCUUUGUGAUUUAUUUGGAGGCCGACGGUGUUGCAGUGCAGUAGGUCGGUGCCCCACCCGACCCAUCUUGAAACAUGGACCAAGGAGUCUAACAUGUGUGCGAGUCACUGGGUCUCGAAGAAGCCCACGGGUGCAAAGAACUUUAUUAUUGUCGGGAUCCCCCGCAUAUAAGAGAGGGGCGCACCGAUGGCCUGCCACUGUGUUAGGACUAGAGGCGAAGCCUGAGCUCACACGUUGGGACACGAAAGAUGGUGAACUAUGCCUAGACAGGACGAAGACAGGGGAAACCCUGUUGGAAGUCCGAAGCGGUUCUGACGUGCAAAUCGAUCGCCUGAUCCGCGUAUAGGGGCGAAAGACUAAUCAAGCAUCUAGUAGCUGGUUCCCUCCGAAGUUUCCCUCAGGAUAGCUGGCGCUCGAUCAAAAUUCAGUCACGAUCGGUAAAGCGAAUGAUUAGAGUUCUUGGGGCCGAAACGACCUCAACCUAUUCUCAUACUUUCAAUGGUCGUAGAGUCCUUUCUCGACUUGAAGGUUGGACGGUGGAUGAGAGUGCCUAGUGGGCCACUUUUGGUAACAGAACUGGCGCUGUGGGAUGAACCAAACGCCGGGUGAAGGCGCCCGAUGCAGAGGCGCUCAUGAGACCCAUAAAAGGUGUUGGUUGCUCUAGAAAGCAGGAUGGUGGCCAUGGAUGUCGGCAUCCGCUAAGGAGUGUGUAACAACUCGCCUGCCAAAGCAACUAGCCCUUAAAAUGGAUGGAGCUUCCGCGUCGAGCCCAUACCCGGCCGGUUCUCUAAGUUAUUCUAUUUAUUAGAGAACCGAGAAGGAGGGUCGCGGCGGUGGCGUGGAAGGGCGUGGCGCGAGCCUGCCUGGAGCCUCCGCCGGUGCAGAUCUUGGUUGUAGUACUAAAUACUCAAGGGAGAACCUUGAGGACUGAAGUAGGAGAAGGGUUCCAUGUCAAUAGCGUUUGCACAUGGGUGAGUCGGUCCUUAGAUAACGGAGAGAUCCGUGCUAGGCGAGACUUUACGAGUCACGCUAUGGACGAAAGGUGAUCGGGUUAAGAUUCCCGAACCCGGACGCGAAAUAAAUGAGACCUUGGUCUCUGGAGUGGUAACGCAAACGAU